UUAUUUGAUUAAUCACUGACGAACGAUGAUGAUACACUAACUGUGAUACACCACAACAUCCAUCAAUUAACAUUCACAUUACAAUAAUACAAUCAUAUAUAUAUUUGCACCCCCAGUUGCCUGGAGAGCACACAUGUGUGAAAAGUGAAUACAUACAUACUCACACUUCACAUGAUUCGUUAAUGAUCCUUCCGCAGGUUCACCUACGGAAA
rnacentral:misc_RNA from 1 species